AGUACACAAUUCCAUGUGUGAACCCAAACUUUAACACAUCAAUAUCUCUCCAGUUAUAACUGAGUUAUACUUAUGAAAUUUGAUUGGAACUCUAUAGUAUACAAUACUAGAAAAUUGCAUUUUAGCUGCCAUAUUUAGCGUCGGUACGUAACUCCGACGCUAGUUAGCGUCGGUGUAACGUCGGUCAAGCUGACGCUAUGGUGACAAAUUUUAUUUUUCAAAUUUAUAAGCAACUAGCGUCGGAGGGGGAGACGCUGUGUUUUAGUGUUUUUCUAAUCGACCAAACGUGCUUUAGCAAAAGUGUGCGUACAAGUCUUGAUCAUUGUCCUGCUGACCCUCCAAGACCAAAAACUCACUCCUUCUACAAGGUUUUAACUGCUUCUGAUACUAGUACCCAUGGUGGAUUUUCUGUUCUUAGGAUCGCUAAUGAAAAAGUUGCCUUGGCUGUCCAAGCAUAUGAUUUGGUUGGAGAACAAUGUUGGUAAUCCCAGAACUUGAUAGGGAGGUUCAACUCUUUCGGAAAUUGAAGAAAAAGUUGUGAGGAAAGGCAAAGAGUAAUUGUCACAAAUUAUCAUAGGGACACACCAUGCAUAAAUUGCUUCCACUACUCUUGGACUUGACACUUCGUGUCCACUACUCAAGACAUGUAGCAAAUCCUUUUCUUUCUCAAAAUAGUUGGGUUUAUGCUUUACACUGUGUUUGUAUAGAAAUCCGUUUCAAUGGCAAGCCAACAAUAUCAACCUCAAUGCAAAUAUGACUUUUGUUCUUGAAGAGUUCAAGAAUUGCAUACUCCAAUAAAAGAUGGUGGUCAUUUCUGAUAGCUUUAAAAGAACUCGCAUUUUGUGGCUAGACUAGAUGAUAUCUACAAAAAUUCAAAGCUUUGUUUCUCCUUGAUAAAAAUUCUGAGGUCAUUAAGAUUUUUUUGUAUUUGUCCAUUUGUUUACUCAUUCUUUCAUGAUAAUUAUGGAUAUGGUCUAGUUUAGAGUCUAUGUUAGAUUGGUAAUCAUUUGUUCUUUUGUUGUAUUUAUAUUAUCAUAAUCUCUAGUUCAUAUGUUCUUUUAGAAAGAAAUCCUUAGUCGUUUUUAUUUCAUGAACUUUUCUCCCUUUACACCUCAAUAUAUAAUUUUUUUUUA